GCAACAACCUUGUCUCCCAGUCAUUGUAAUCUGUAUCAGAGAGCACCAUUAGAUGAAUGAAGAUGGAAAUGUUCUCAUGGUCGGCAGGGAUACGAAAAGACCGAAGAGGAGGGAGAAUGUUGAAACACAAGCGCCAGAGAGAUGAUGGGGAGGGCAGGGGUGAAGUGGGGUCUGCUGGAGACAUGAGAGCUGCCAACCUUUGGCCAAGCCCGCUCAUGAUCAAACACUCUAAGAAGAACAGCCCGGCCUUGUCCCUGACGGCCGACCAGAUGGUCAGUGCCUUGUUGGAUGCUGAGCCCCCCAUACUGUAUUCCGAGUAUGAUCCUACCAGACCCUUCAGUGAGGCUUCGAUGAUGGGCUUACUGACCAACCUGGCAGACAGGGAGCUGGUUCACAUGAUCAACUGGGCAAAGAGGGUGCCAGGCUUUGUGGAUUUGACCCUCCAUGAUCAGGUCCACCUUCUAGAAUGUGCCUGGCUAGAGAUCCUGAUGAUUGGUCUCGUCUGGCGCUCCAUGGAGCACCCAGGGAAGCUCCUGUUUGCUCCUAACUUGCUCUUGGACAGGAACCAGGGAAAAUGUGUAGAGGGCAUGGUGGAGAUCUUCGACAUGCUGCUGGCUACAUCAUCUCGGUUCCGCAUGAUGAAUCUGCAGGGAGAGGAGUUUGUGUGCCUCAAAUCUAUUAUUUUGCUUAAUUCUGGAGUGUACACAUUUCUGUCCAGCACCCUGAAGUCUCUGGAAGAGAAGGACCAUAUCCACCGAGUCCUGGACAAGAUCACAGACACUUUGAUCCACCUGAUGGCCAAGGCAGGCCUGACCCUGCAGCAGCAGCACCGGCGGCUGGCCCAGCUCCUCCUCAUCCUCUCCCACAUCAGGCACAUGAGUAACAAAGGCAUGGAGCAUCUGUACAGCAUGAAGUGCAAGAACGUGGUGCCUCUCUAUGACCUGCUGCUAGAGAUGCUGGACGCCCACCGCCUGCAUGCGCCCACUAGCCGUGGAGGGGCGCCCGUGGAGGAGACGGACCAAAGCCACUUGGCCACCGCGGGCUCUACUUCAUCGCAUUCCUUGCAAAAGACAUAACCGGUGCUGGGAAAUAUGGACUCUUCUCUGUGUCAAAGGCCCAGUGGUGACUGCUUUUAAUGAGUCAUUAAACAAGAACCAACCCAAAUGCCCAUCAAUGAUAGACUGGAUAAAGAAAAUGUGGCAUGUA
rnacentral:sRNA from 1 species